rnacentral:rRNA from 1 species
GAUGAACGCUGGCGGCGUGCCUAAUACAUGCAAGUCGAGCGAAUGGAUUAAGAGCUUGCUCUUAUGAAGUUAGCGGCGGAGGGGAGAGUAACACGAGGUUAACCUGCCCAUAAGACUCGUAUAACUCCGGGAAACCGGGGCUAAUACCGGGUAACAUUUUGCACCGCAUGGUUCGCAAGUCAGAGGCGGUUUCUGCUAGGACUAAUGGAUGGACCCGCGUCGCAUUAGCUAGUUGGUGAGGUAACGGCUCACCAAGGCAACGAUGCGUAGCCGACGUGAGAGGGUGAUCGGCCACACUGGGACUGAGACACGUCCCAGACUCCUACGGGAGGCAGCAGUAGGGAAUCUUCCGCAAUGGACGAAAGUCUGACGGAGCAACGCCGCGUGAGUGAUGAAGGCUUUCGGGUCGUAAAACUCUGUUGUUAGGGAAGAACAAGUGCUAGUUGAAUAAGCUGGCACCUUGACGGUACCUAACCAGAAAGCCACGGCUAACUACGUGCCAGCCGCCGCGGUAA